CACGUAGGGACCAAGCGUUGUCCGGAUUUAUUGGGCGUAAAGAGCUCGUAGGCGGUUCGGUAAGUCAGAUGUGAAAGCCCUGGGCUCAACCCAGGAACUGCAUCUGAUACUGCUGUGACUUGAGUUCGGUAGGGGAGCGGGGAAUUCCUGGUGUAGCGGUGAAAUGCACAGAUAUCAGGAGGAACACCGGUGGCGAAGGCGCCGCUCUGGGCCGGUACUGACGCUGAGGAGCGAAAGCGUGGGUAGCAAACAGG
rnacentral:rRNA from 1 species